GCGGCCCGGAAAACUGACGGAAUAGAUGGACACUGAUGAACUUGAUUAAUGAUGAUAAAUGAUGGUUUAUUAUGUUGUUUAUAUGUGUUAUUCAUAAUUCCUGUAUACAAUUGAUCAUGUGGUUAUGGGAUUAAUUAUGCUACCUUGACAUUUGCUAUCCAAUGAUUAAACAUGCUAUCAACUAUUAAAAGCUAAAUGCAGUCAAACCAGUGUCAGCUAUUUGAGCCUCAUGAACCCCUGGUUAUACUUGUUGAGUACGAUAUGUGCUCACUCUUGCAAUUUCCCCCCACACCUCAGGAGAAGUUUUGGGCUUGUGAUCAACCAGUCAGUUGGAUCCUGUGGAGAGGAGUUAAUACCCGAAGUUUAAAAUUGUCUAUCCGCUGUUUGCUAUUAAAGGUUAUCUCUUUAAUAUUAUGUACGUUAUAUAUUUAUGCAUUGUUCUUUGAUAUUAACCCUUAUUUGUAGCUAUAUGUGAGAUUUGACUUCUAAAACUCACAUAUGGUGCAUAUCUGGUUUUGUCCUUAAAAUCGGGUAUUACAGAUCUUGUCACCGGUCUUACCAAAAGCAGCUACUACCCUUCGUUGUUCCCUAUAUGCGG
rnacentral:lncRNA from 1 species